UACGGAGGGGGCUAGCGUUGUUCGGAAUUCCUGGGCGUAAAGCGCGCGUAGGCGGACCUGCAAGUCGGGGGUGAAAGCCCGAGGCUCAACCUCGGAACUGCCUUCGAUACUGCGGGUCUCGAGUCCGGGAGAGGUAAGUGGAAUUCCUAGUGUAGAGGUGAAAUUCGUAGAUAUUCGGAAGAACACCAGUGGCGAAGGCGGCUCACUGGCCCGGUACUGACGCUGAGGUGCGAAAGCGUGGGGAGCAAACAGG
rnacentral:rRNA from 1 species